rnacentral:rRNA from 1 species
UACAGAGGGGGCGAGCGUUGUUCGGAAUUACUGGGCGUAAAGGGCGCGUAGGCGGCCAACUAAGUCAGACGUGAAAUCCCUCGGCUCAACCGGGGAACUGCGUCUGAUACUGGAUGGCUUGAAUUCGGGAGAGGGAUGCGGAAUUCCAGGUGUAGCGGUGAAAUGCGUAGAUAUCUGGAGGAACACCGGUGGCGAAGGCGCCCACCUGGCCUGCUACUGACGCUGAAGCUCGAAAGCUAGGGGAGCAAACGGG